GGACUACCCGGGUUUCUAAUCCCGUUUGCUCCCCUGGCUUUCGCGCCUCAGCGUCAGAAGAGGUCCAGCGCGCCGCUUUCGCCACCGGUGUUCCUUCCGAUAUCUACGCAUUUCACCGCUCCACCGGAAGUUCCGCACGCCCCUACCUCCCUCGAGACUCGCAGUAUCAAAGGCACUUCUCCAGUUGAGCUGGAGGCUUUCACCCCUGACUGGCGAGCCCGCCUACGCGCCCUUUAAGCCCAGUGAUUCCGAACAACGUUCGCACGGUUCGUCUUACCGCGGCUGCUGGCAC
rnacentral:rRNA from 1 species